UCAGGCAAGGAGCCAUGCUGACAGUCUGGCAAAUGGGCUUCUGUUCCUACCAGUAACAAAGACUCUACUGUGUGCCCUCAGUGUUCUGAAGGAUGAAGAAACAUAGCGCGUUGGAAAAUAAGUUUGUUCAGACAAUUAAUCUACCCUGUCACCCAGUAAAUCUUUUUUUUUUUUUAAUCAAGAAUGCAGACCACUGACACUCUAGUUACUUCCAUGGAAGGGACCUGAAAGGAGUUAAGGUAUAGGCGCCUCGCCUCAGAAAAGCCUGAGAGCUCAAUUUACAAAGAAGAAUCGGUAGUUUUCUGAGAAGUAGUGGUGUGGCCGGCUUGGAGAAAUUACGAAGUCAAGUCCAUUUCUCCUUCCAUUUUGCCGGUGAGUUUUCCUUCCACUUUCGCUGGUGCUGGUGCUGGGCCAGUCUUUAGGACACAUAAGCAGGAAAUUCUGCAAAAGUGGCCCCUGGGGAUCCCUUUUUGACUCCCUUUUGUCGCUAAGCCGGGACUGUCUCUGGAAAUUUGAGACUGGGCCUUAGCCUGGAUUUGUUGCUGCUCCCCUUGCUACUGCUGACACUUGGCACCACAGUCCAAACAGACGCAGAGCGGGUCCCACGCCAUCUGAAGGAGCCCGGACAGUGUCACCCUCUCCACGGUGCUGGCCGGCCUGCCACCCACGCAGGGGAGCCUGGGCCUGCGCCCCUCUUCCGCACCCGCCCGCCGCAGAUGCGGGGAAAACCGCCUGACAUCAUGAGAGCAGGACAAACUCACUUUGAAGGAUUCCUGGGCAGGACUUCAAGUGAAAUCAUAUGCCUGAGAAGAACUUGAUACCGGUCUAGAGAAAAUAACUAGUUCUGACUUUGCCAAACCGUGGAAUGUGCAAAAUGCUCUACUUUUGUGCAAGGGGCCAAGUGUCCCUUAAAAAGCUCCAUUAUGAACGCGAAGGGGCAAGAAGCUGGUGCCGUUGUUGAACGUGGGGGAGAAGUACAAAAGGCGUGUGAGUUUCCGCUACUUGACGUUAUUUUAUUAGCAGUCUGUUCCACUUUGGGGAGGGUAUCUGCACCUGUGCAUGAACGAUUAUCUCUGCCUGUGCUCAGCGAGUAUAUGCACGCAACGGGGAAAUAUAUGGGGACAAAACAUUUACUGCUUUCUUGCCACUGAAGGCUAUCAAUCAAAAAAUGAAAAACAAAAGUAGUUAUUUGCACAGUAAAGGCAACAACGCAGUCAACAUUUUAGAAUUCAUCCAAGCCCCUAUAAUGGAAUACUUUCUGCUAGCAAAUGCAUUCUGGUUGAAAGGCGAAGCUGAAUCCAGCCACCUAACUAAAUGGAAAGAUUUAUUUUCUCAGUGAUAAAACAGGUGUGUUUGUAUCUUUUAAACAAAUGUAGGUAACAAAAAUAAAAUGAAAUGAAAUAAAAUGAGAGGAAAUAACGGUGGAGAAGAAGACACAGGUGGCUUUAUUUGUAUUCUAAAAAUGUUAUUUUGUCACUUGGUGAGAGGUAAGAAUAUAGACUUUGCAAGCUGAAAAUUAUAUUCAAGUAGCUAAUAUUUUCCACUGUGAAGUAUCCUCAAAGUAAAAAUAUUAACCACCUUUUGUUCCUUCAUUUAUUUCUCUUAAGACCUAAAGGAAAAUAUUUCCCGGUAUUUUGUAUUUAGUUACUCCACACAAAUGUGACACUUGCUUUUUUUCAGUUUCCUCUUAUGAAAAAAAAGUGGAAAAAGUAAAACAUUAAGGAAAAAAAGGCAAAUGGAAGACUACCUUCCUUUUUUUUAAACAUCUAGUUUUUACACCCAGAGUUAAGAUAGUGUUUACCUUCUCAGCAAUGAUGGUCAGCUCCCUCCUGAUGUAAUGUAGCUCAAGACAUCUGAAAUAUCAAAUAGUCAGACCAAACUAGUGAACAUGAAGAUUCCCCCCAUGAACAAUUUAGAAAAUGGAGGUGGUUGAUGAUACACAAAAGAGAGGAUUACCAUUCUGAUACUUUCC
ensembl:lncRNA